GCUGGCAUAGCUUAAUUAAAGCGUAGCACUGAAAAUGCUAAAAUAGACUGUAAUCUGUCUUGCAAGCA
rnacentral:tRNA from 1 species